rnacentral:ncRNA from 1 species
GCGCUCUGGAGAAUCCCGUCCCCGGGACGGGUGCCGAAGGUGCAAGACGGUGCGGAAGCCCGCGCCGGGAAUCUCUCAGGCCAAAGGACAGAGC